UUAAAGUUUAAUUUUAGUUUUUAAAUUUAAUUUAUAAUUUAUGUUUAUAUAAAUUUUUGUGAGAUUGAUAUUAUAAUUUAGAGAAUUGUGAUAGUAUUUUUAUUUGUAGUAUAAAGUUUUAAUAAUUUAAGUAAUUAAGAAUUAUAAAUUUAUUUUAGAAUUGACAAAUAUUGUGCCAGCAGUUGCGGUUAUACAAUAAAUUUAAUUGAAUUUUAUUAGUUAUAAUUAUAUAGUAUAUAUAAAUAAAAAUUAAAUUUAUUAGGUUAAAUUUUAAAUUUAAAUUUUAUUUUAAUUUAUGGUGUUUAUUUAUUAGGAAAUUUUUAUUUAAACUAGGAUUAGAUACCCUAUUAUUUUAAAUGUAAAUUUAUUAUUAAAGUAGUAUUAGUUAAAGUCUUGAAAUUUAAAAAAUUUGGCGGUAUUUUAGUCUAUUUAGAGGAACUUGUUCUGUAAUUGAUAGUCCACGAUAAAUUUGACUUAAUUUAUAUAAAUUUAUAUAUCGUCGUUAUAAGAAAAUUUUAUGAGAUAAUUUUUUAGAAUUAAAAUAAUAAUUUAUUUCAGAUCAAGGUGUAGUUUAUAAUUAAGUAGAAAUGAGUUACAAUAAAGUUAUUUAUUAAUGAAUUAAAUAAUGAAAAUAUUUAUGAAAGUGGAUUUAAUAGUAAUAAUGAAUAAUUUAAUUUUUAUGAUUUUAGCUCUAGAAUAUGUACAUAUUGCCCGUCACUCUUAUAGUAAAUUAAGAUAAGUCGUAACAAAGUAGAUGUAUUGGAAAAUGUAUCUAGAAUUAA
rnacentral:ncRNA from 1 species